rnacentral:snoRNA from 1 species
AUCUGGUGCUUACCACAGGCUGUGUUGUUACACUCUACAUAGAUAAAGGAAGCAAAGUAAACCUACUCCACAUACACCUCAAACCUACCCCACAUACACCUCCCCCACAUAUACCUGUGCCUGGUCUGUAUUAUGAAUGGGGAGACAUUG